UUGACUCUCCAUCAAAACAUCUCUUGUUCCUCUCCAACCAAAUACUCCAAAAAAUACAAGCAGGUAUCAUAAUCCAGAUCUUCUUGAUGGCUUUGUCAACUUUCCAUAGACUCCAACUCUUAUAUGCAUCCUUAACAGUGAGGGGUGUGGUCCAAUUGAUGCCAGAGAGACAAAAAAACAUGCUCCAUAAUUCUGAGGCCACCUCACAAUGAAGAAGAAGGUGUCUAGGGGUUUCAGCCUCUUUUUUGCACAUAUAGCAUCUGUUUGGGAAUUGGAUUUUUCUUUUCUUUAUGUUGUCUUGGGUGAGACAUGCCUCAUAUAGAGCUAUCCAGGUAAAAAAAAACUACCUUAGGUGGUAGCUUGGUCCUCCAAAUGAGUUUCCAGGGCCAGUUAGCUAUCACGGGGUUUCUAGAGCACAACUGUUGAUACCCUUCCUUGACUGUAUAAACUCCUUUCUGGUGUCCCCAUUUGAGCUUAUCAGAUGCCUGGAGAUUAAUGUGACAAUGUGACAAUCUAGCAAAAAGGUCUACCAGAUCAUUCACUUCCCAAUCGUGCAUAUUUCUUCUAAAUCUCAGAUCCCAAUUGAUCCCUUCUCUAUUAGCAACAAUAACAGAAUUGGGAUCUUGAGCAAUUCUAAACAGAUCUGGGAAAUCCUCCUGAAGAGUGGUAUUUCCAAGCCAUUUGUCUGUCCAAAAUUUUAGGAGUACACCAUUGCCCAAUUCAAAGUAAGCGUUCUGAUCAAAUGUAUCCCACAACAUCCUAAUACUCUUCCACAGUCCCACUCCGUAAGGAAGUGUAGUAAUAUUUGUGCACCAUUGAUUCAGCCUUCCAUGCUUAGCUAUGAUGACCUCUUUCCAGAGCCCUGCGUCUUCCAAGUUGUAUCUCCAAAGCCACUUCAUCAUCAUACUUUUGUUGUGGGCUGCAAGGUUCUUAAUGCCAAGACCUCCUUGGUAUUUUGGUUGUGUGACCUUCUCCCAUUUGAUGAGAUGAAAUUUGUGUUUCUCCCUGCUGCCUUUCCAGAGGAAGUCCCUUCUUAUCUUGUCAAUCUGUUCUAUAACCUCACUUGGCAUUGGGAGCAAGGCCAUGUAAUAAGUAGGUAAACUGUCUAGAACACUAUUGAUAAGUGUUACUCUACCACCAAAGGAGAGGUAUUGCAUUUGCCAUGUUGCCAACCUCUUCUCAAACUUUCCAAUAGAGCACAACUGUUGAUACCCUUCCUUGACUGUAUAAACUCCUUUCUGGUGUCCCCAUUUGAGCUUAUCAGCUGCCUGGAGAUUAAUGUGACAAUGUUGUAGUCUAGCAAAAAGGUCUACCAGAUCAUUCACUUCCCAAUCGUGCAUAUUUCUUCUAAAUCUCAGAUCCCAAUUGAUCCCUUCUCUAUUAGCAGCAAUAACAGAAUUGGGAUCUUGAGCAAUUCUAAACAGAUCUGGGAAAUCCUCCUGAAGAGUGGUAUUUCCAAGCCAUUUGUCUGUCCAAAAUUUUAGGAG
rnacentral:lncRNA from 1 species